rnacentral:rRNA from 1 species
GGUAGCCUACGGGGCGCAGCAGUGAGGAAUAUUGGUCAAUGGGAGAGAUCCUGAACCAGCCAAGCCGCGUGAGGGAAGACGGCCCUAUGGGUUGUAAACCUCUUUUGUCGGAGAACAAAACCCGGGACGUGUCCCGGACUGCGUGUAUCCGAAGAAAAAGCAUCGGCUAACCCCGUGCCAGCAGCCGCGGUAAUACGGAGGAUCCGAGCGUUAUCCGGAUUUAUUGGGUUUAAAGGGAGCGUAGGUGGAUUGUUAAGUCAGUUGUGAAAGUUUGCGGCUCAACCGUAAAAUUGCAGUUGAAACUG